rnacentral:rRNA from 1 species
UUAAAUUGAAGAGUUUGAUCAUGGCUCAGAUUGAACGCUGGCGGCAGGCCUAACACAUGCAAGUCGAACGGUAACAGGAAGCAGCUUGCUGCUUCGCUGACGAGUGGCGGACGGGUGAGUAAUGUCUGGGAAACUGCCUGAUGGAGGGGGAUAACUACUGGAAACGGUAGCUAAUACCGCAUAACGUCGCAAGA